AAACACUGGGAUGCUGGAGCUCAGGCAUCCCAGACAGGAGGAGUGUGUACUCACACCAGCCAGGAGGAAACAAGCCUGCCUGAGAGGACAGAGGAUCAGCCCUGGCUGUCCCUCGGGAGCGGGGGGCCUCCAAGGCACACUGCCCACUGGGUCAAGGAGUAUCCAGGAGGAGUUAGAAGG
rnacentral:lncRNA from 1 species